rnacentral:rRNA from 1 species
UACGUAGGGGGCUAGCGUUGUCCGGAUUUAUUGGGCGUAAAGAGCGUGUAGGCGGCUAGAUAGGUCCGUUGUGAAAACUCGAGGCUCAACCUCGAGACGUCGAUGGAAACCAUCUAGCUAGAGUCCGGAAGAGGAGAGUGGAAUUCCUGGUGUAGCGGUGAAAUGCGCAGAUAUCAGGAGGAACACCGGUGGCGAAGGCGGGUCUCUGGGCCGUAACUGACGCUGAGGAGCGAAAGCGUGGGGAGCGAACAGG